rnacentral:rRNA from 1 species
AACGCGAAGAACCUUACCUGGGCUUGACAUGUGAGUGACCGGCGUGGAAACACGUCUUCCCUUCGGGGCACUUUCACAGGUGGUGCAUGGCUGUCGUCAGCUCGUGUCGUGAGAUGUUGGGUUAAGUCCCGCAACGAGCGCAACCCCCGUCGCAUGUUGCCAGCAUUUAGUUGGGGACUCAUGCGAGACUGCCGGUGACAAACCGGAGGAAGGUGGGGAUGACGUCAAGUCCUCAUGCCCCUUAUGUCCAGGGCUACACACGUGCUACAUUGGCGCAUACAGAGGGCUGCGAUACCGCGAGGUGGAGCGAAUCCCUUAAAGUGCGUCUCGGUUCGGAUUGCAGGCUGAAAUUCGCCUGCAUGAAGGCGGAGUUGCUAGUAAUCGCGGAUCAGCAUUGCCGCGGUGAAUACGUUCCCGGGCCUUGUACACACCGCUCGCGA